UAUACGUACAAUCGAUCGUAGUCGUACCCACUACAGGUAGGUAAACCAUAUAGUAAUCUGACUCGUAUCAAUAGAUUUUUGCUUAAAACAGAGAAAUGCGUUCCAUACAAAUUCUUUUCAAGAUCUUCUACAUCUUGGUCAUCAUUUUGAUGAUGGCCGUUCAUGGUCACCAAUGUCCCACGUUGCAACAACUCUUCAAUAAGGAAACGGGUGUAAGAUGGAGUGAUCCGUUAGUGACAAAAUCAAAUUAAUCGGUAAAAUUGGUAUAAUGUUGCUUUUUCCUUGGUUCAUGAGAUAUAAUUAUAAGUGAAGAUCCAUUAAAUAUAAAACAAAAUUUUGAAUGUACAUACAAUUAAUUUUUUUCAACGUUAAAUCUGUUAAA